AAUGAACGCUGGCGGUAGGCCUAACACAUGCAAGUCGAACGGCAGCACAGUAAGAGCUUGCUCUUACGGGUGGCGAGUGGCGGACGGGUGAGGAAUACAUCGGAAUCUACUUUUUCGUGGGGGAUAACGUAGGGAAACUUACGCUAAUACCGCAUACGACCUACGGGUGAAAGCAGGGGAUCUUCGGACCUUGCGCGAUUGAAUGAGCCGAUGUCGGAUUAGCUAGUUGGCGGGGUAAAGGCCCACCAAGGCGACGAUCCGUAGCUGGUCUGAGAGGAUGAUCAGCCACACUGGAACUGAGACACGGUCCAGACUCCUACGGGAGGCAGCAGUGGGGAAUAUUGGACAAUGGGCGCAAGCCUGAUCCAGCCAUACCGCGUGGGUGAAGAAGGCCUUCGGGCUGUAAAGCCCUUUUGUUGGGAAAGAAAAGCAGCAGGUUAAUACCCCGCUGUUCUGACGGUACCCAAAGAAUAAGCACCGGCUAACUUCGUG
rnacentral:rRNA from 1 species